CAAGAGCAUGUACACAACACAGCACACAAAAUCAAUGAAUCCAGCCUGAUUACAGCAUUGAUACAAUCUGAAAAGUAUCAAAACACUACAAUACACCAAAAAAGUACAGGAUCAACUCAAGAGUUAUGAUUUUGGGGAACGAGAAACUGAGGAACUCUGGAGACAAAAGGAAAAUGAAAUUGAGAAUGAGAAGAUGAAAGUUGAAAAUGAAAUUAAUGAAAUGUGUCAAAGUGCCAUCCCAUCAAGCAAAUCUCCAACAAUUGAGAAACUGUUGAAGAGCGUACAGAGAGUCUAAAAGAAGAGAAACAAUUAUUAAAGACUUUAAUCCAAAAGAAUAAAGACAAAGAGUGUAUCAAAUAUUAGUUUAAACUACAAAAGAAGAGUCUACCAGUUCAUUUUAAUGAAUCCUCAACAGUCGAUAAUGUACAAGGAUGUAUCCUCUUAACAUACCAUGUACAUGUACAUCAAUAUGUAUCAGUAAAACA